AUACACCCCCGCCCUUCUUCUUACCAGAGAGAUGUUUGUUUAUGUCGGCGCAAUGCGUGAAGAAUUCGGGUGGCCCACGUAUCCCGAGUGAGCCAUGUUUCCGUGAAACAGAAUGUUACAAUCUCUGACGUCUCUCUGAAAGGCAACCUUUGCUCGAAUUUCAUCUACCUUGUUGUCAAGAGACUGGACAUUGGCGAGUAGUAUACUCGUGAGCGAUGUGCCGGUCUACAGAGCCUGACCAGAAGACCGCUCCAUUUGCCCCUUCUGAGGCGCCGUUGUUUUGGGAAGCCUACUAGGAUCCGAUCCAUUGUCCUGGGUGUUGGUCCAAACAGAGGAUCCACUUCGGGAAAGUCGUAUUCCUGGUCGUAAUGUUGGUGUGAAGCGGCUUUCGGCAACCUUACUGGAGACGACAAGAAGUAAGACUAAUAUCUUAUUUAGAAUGUGCUGGAUGUUUGGCUCCUCUUCUGAUCACUGGGAUCCUGGUGUUCACAAUCAUCCAGUUUAAACCAGCCAGCUAUGAGGACUACGCGUAUCCCCAAUGGGCUCAGGGGAUUGGCUGGGUCAUCGCCACGGUGUCCAUCAUCUGGAUCCCCCUCAGAGCUCUUCUCACACUGUGGGUUCUGCCUGGCUUAAUCAAUGAGAUACUGAAUUACUAUAUACUCAUCUGUCAGUAUCUAUCUCUCUCUCUCUAUUCAUCUACCUACCUAUAGCAUUAUUGCAACUUUACUACAACACCUUGCAGCCUCCUCAAGAGGUUCUGGUGUAAUGGCUAAGCUAAGGUGUUGGACAGAAUUCCAUUUUUAUGUCCUUUUUGCCAUGUUUUAUUAAAGUUUUGUCUUCCUCCCCCGAGAGAUUAGUAAAGUUAAUCACCCCCUAUUCACCGGAGAAUGAGAAGUCAAAAGUACCAUACUACCUGGAGAUGGGAAGAGACAUACCCAAACAUAGCAGUCAUCAGCUGCUUUGCUCCUCUACCAGAGAAGCCUCACAUUCAGACAAACCUCUGAUACUGACUCUCCCUACUGAUGGCCUCUGUGCCUGUGAGGUAGGGACUAUGAUAGGCUUGGAGAGCCAGGUGAGGGUUCACUCUGUAUGUUGAGCUUGAUUCACAUUGGGACUGGAAACCAAACUGUGGACUGUCUGUGGCCUCAAGAACUGACCACUAUUGGUGUGGUUUAUACACCAAUAGUACAUCUCAAUACUGUAUUGAGAUUUAUACAGUAUUACAGAUUCAUCAAUGGGGACGUGGCUUGUUCUCCAAGUGAAUGUCAAGACCUUUUUUAAAACACUAUUAUAGUCAAUAAUGUGAAAACAAAUACACAGAAUUGAUAUUUUAUAUUCAAGAAGCUUACCUACCUCUGUUUUGAGUCGUCAGAAUGGAAUAUGAUGAGGAGUGGGUAGUGGUAAACAUGACGGAUAGACCUUAACUAACAUGUCCAUAUGUUGCACUGUCUGAGCUUUGGUAUUAUGUCACGUUUAAAAACAAUAUGCCACAUGUUGCCAUGGAUAAUCUAAGUCAAUGAUCUUAGAACUGGUUGUUAGGCUACAUAUGAUUAUUAUGUAAAAUAUCCAUUGCAAUCUGACAAAGGGUUACGUUCCGUGACUCAUAAAUGAUAAGUUACCGUUGUAAAAUGAUUGUAAAUGACAGUAUAUCAACAUUUAUUUGAUAUACUGUAUAUUAAAAAAAUACUAAAGGAAAAUGUUUGAAAGGAAAUUUAAUCAGGCAUAAUUAUGUCAAGUAUUAUAAAACCUCAAAAUAAUCAGGAUAUUGUCAUUGGAGUAGGAUAAAUACUGUACAACUCCUGUCAUGUUGUGUAAAGCAAAAAUAAAAAAGCCAACUGA